GUGACUGAAGCGCCCGCAGGUGCCUGUGCCUGUGUAUCCCGACAAUAAACCAAAUCCUCUUGCUGAUUGCAUCCUGUGGUGUCUCAGUCUGGUCUUUGGAGUUAGAGGGUCUCCAUCCCGAAGGAAAGUUCUCCCUGAGAGCUUUUCAUUUGGUGCGCUGGCCGGGAAAGGAGAUCCUCCACCCAGGGACCACCGACCACCCACUGGGAGUUUGUUUAUAUGGUGGAUUACAUUGAUGGAUUUUAUUAUAUUGAACCAUCGUGUGUCCCUGGAAUGAAGCCUAUGUGAUCAUGGUGAAUGAAGUUUCUGAACAGAACAGCAACAGCUCAGGCACUAAGAUCAACAGUGAAUUAAUGGGACCUCAUGAAAUUGAAAAGCUUUUGCAAGGAUAAGGAUACCAUCAAUAGGAGCCUACAGAAUGGGAAAAGAUCUUCAUCAGCCCUACAUCUCACAGAGGAUUGAUAUCCAGAAUGUAUAAAGAACUCAAGAAAGACACUGACAAACCAAAUAGCCCAACUAAAAAAAUUGGAUACAGAGCUAAAGAGAGAAUUCUCAACAGAGGACUCUCUAGAAACACUUAAAUGUUCAGCAUCCUUGGUCCUCAGGGAAAUGCAAAUCAAAAUGACUCUGAGAUUCCAUAUUUUGCCUGUCAGAAUGGCCAAGAUCAAAAAUUCAAGUGAUAGCACAUGCUGGUGAGGAUGUGGAGUAAAGGCAACACUCCUCCAUUGUUGGUGGGAAUGCAAACUCCCACAACCACUCUAGAAAACAAUGUGGUGGUUCCUUUAAAAAAAUUGGGAACAGUUCUACUCCAAGACCCAGCUAUACCACUCUUGGACAUAUAUACCCAAAAGACGCCCCACUAUACUACAAGGACACUUGCCCAACUGUGUUCACAGCAGCUUUAUUUGUAAUAGCCAGAAACUGGAAACAACCUAGAUGUCCCUGAACUGAACAAUGGAUAAAGAAAAUGUAUAUCUACCCAAUGGAAUGCUAUUCAGCAAUUAAAAACAAAGACAUCAUUAUAUUUGCAGGCAAAUGGAUGAAACUAGAAAAUAUCACUCUGAGUGAGGUAACCCUGACCCAGAAAGACAUGAAUGGUAUAUAUUCACUUGUAAGUGAACAUUAGCCACAAAGUACAGGAUACCCAUGGUAAAAAUCCAUAGACCCAAAAAACCUAAGUAAUAAGGAAGGCCUGAGGGAGGGUACCUGAAGACCACUCAGCAUGGUGAAAAAAUAGUCAUUGAAGGUGGAUGGAGAGGGAACUGGGUGGGAGAGGGGGCAAGGAGGAGAAUGGGAAUGGGGAUG
ensembl:lncRNA